UACAGAGGGGGCAAGCGUUAUUCGGAAUUAUUGGGCGUAAAGGGCGCGUAGGCGGCCUGACAAGUGGAAGGUGAAAUCCCUCGGCUUAACCGAGGAACUGCCUUCCAAACUGUUUGGCUUGAGUCCGGGAGAGGCGAGUGGAAUUCCCAGUGUAGCGGUGAAAUGCGUAGAUAUUGGGAGGAACACCAGUGGCGAAGGCGGCUCGCUGGACCGGAACUGACGCUGAGGCGCGAAAGCGUGGGGAGCGAACCGG
rnacentral:rRNA from 1 species